rnacentral:ribozyme from 1 species
GGUGUGCGAUAGACUUACCUCCACGUGGUGCACCCUGGGCAACGUAUACUCAUGCGGCAAAAAUGUUUAU